rnacentral:rRNA from 1 species
AGAGUUUGAUCAUGGCUCAGAUUGAACGCUGGCGGCGUGCCUAACACAUGCAAGUCGAGCGGUAACAGGCGUAGCAAUACGUGCUGACGAGCGGCGAACGGGUGAGCAAUGCUUCGGAAUCUGCCCAAUGAUGGGGAAUAACCAGUCGAAAGAUUGGCUAAUACCGCAUACGCCCUUCGGGGGAAAGCGGGGGUCGCAAGACCUCACGUCGAUGGAUGAGCCGAAGUCGGAUUAGCUAGUUGGUAGGGUAACGGCCUACCAAGGCGACGAUCCGUAGCUGGUCUGAGAGGACGACCGGCCACACUGGGACUGAGACGCGGCCCAGACUCCUACGGGAGGCAGCAGUGGGGAAUAUUGGACAAUGGGGGCAACCCUGAUCCAGCGACGCCGCGUGUGUGAAGAAGGCCUGCGGGUUGUAAAGCACUUUUAGUGGGGAUGAAAAGCACAUCACUAAUACUGGUGUGUCUUGACCUAACCCAAAGAAAAAGCACCGGCUAACUCUGUGCCAGCAGCCGCGGUAAUACAGAGGGUGCGAGCGUUAAUCGGAAUUACUGGGCGUAAAGCGUGCGUAGACGGCUAUCUAAGUCGGGUGUGAAAGCCCCGGGCUCAACCUGGGAAUUGCAUUCGAGACUGAAUAGCUAGGGUGCGGUAGAGGGAAGCGGAAUUUCCGGUGUAGCGGUGAAAUGCGUAGAUAUCGGAAGGAACAUCAGUGGCGAAAGCGGCUUCCUGGACCAGCACCGACGUUCAGGCACGAAAGCGUGGGGAGCAAACAGGAUUAGAUACCCUAGUAGUCC